AGAGGUUACUGCUAUCGAGGUUCGACUAAGCCAUGCGAGUCGAAUGUAGCAAUACAUGGCGAACUGCUCAGUAACACGUGGACAACCUGCCCUUAGGACGGGGAUAAACCCGGGAAACUGGGUAUAAUACCCGAUAGGUCUCGAUUGCUGGAAUGCAUCGAGAUUUAAAGCUCCGGCGCCUAAGGAUGGGUCUGCGGCCUAUCAGGUAGUAGUGGGUGUAGCGUACCUACUAGCCUACGACGGGUACGGGUUGUGAGAGCAAGAGCCCGGAGAUGGAUUCUGAGACACGAAUCCAGGCCCUACGGGGUGCAGCAGGCGCGAAAACUUUACAAUGCUGGCAACAGCGAUAAGGGAACCUCGAGUGCCAGGUUACAAAUCUGGCUGUCGAGAUGCCUAAAAA
rnacentral:rRNA from 1 species